rnacentral:tRNA from 1 species
GCCUUCGUGGUGUAGUGGUCAGCCCGCGCGACGCGUAACCGAGAGGUCCGUGGUUCGAUUCCCGGCAAAGGCC